GGGGGCGUGGUCUAGUCUGGUCUAGGACGCUGGAUUGUCACUCCAGAGAUCGCCGGUUCAAAUCCGGUCGUCCCCGCCA
rnacentral:tRNA from 2 species